UGAGCCUUUAAUAACUAUGGCUGAGAUCCAACCCAUAGUCUCUCUUUGUCUCUUAUGUGUUUGUAGUUUUAGAUGAUGAAUUUUGAAGUGGAAUUACUUUUAAGUUUUCUGCUUCUGGAGUGUGAUGAUGGUGGCAGUUAGGUAUCUCACAUCUUUAGGUUUGAAUUUCCUCUUAUCUGAUGUUUUGGCUGUUUUCUUCAAUUAUGUUAUAAAUCAAUAGAGCAGCUUGCAAUUAAUGUAUAUACAAUUCUAACAUGCUUACCAUUCAGGUGCGAAAAAGAAACACCGAA
rnacentral:misc_RNA from 1 species